rnacentral:lncRNA from 1 species
CGGGUGAGGGACAAAUGCCAAAGAAAAUGGGAUCAGGCCAGAACUUAUAAAGGGUGUCGGCGUGAAGGGGUGUCACCAUGUGACAUCCAAUGGCAACAGAUUACAUUAGGAUUACAUCAUAGGUCAUAACCAAUGGGGAAAAGCUGGGGAGGGGAGAAGCCUCAGGGGACCAAGUGACGGCAAGAAUAGGGAUGAUUGACAAAGGACUUUUGAGAACAAAAUGGGGGUGGUUACAUGGACUGACAGGAGGUAGGCAGCACAACUUGGAUUGGCUCGUCUACUUUGGGGUAAAAGGGGAGGAACAGGGAGAUUGACAGUCAAGUGGUGGGAAAACUUAGGGGUAAACAACCUGGGAGAAACCACUGUGAAGGAAAGAAGUAGGGGGUACAAGGAACAUACCAAACAAAACUUUCUAACAAUAAAUUUCUAACUCAUACAGUAAAACGCUGCAAAAUCCCACAAAACACACACCACCACAGUCCAGCUGGAAGAAGUCUCCUGGUUUUUGCUCAGAAGCAUUAGUGGCCAAAGAGCACUGAUGUGGUUCCUCACAUCCCACUCCCUUCUCACUGCUCAACUUCUCCAGGUGGGAUUAGUGUGUUCUUGGAGUUACUCUUAGAUGCCUUGAGCAGUAGCUUAUGGACUAGGAGGGCUUUUUGUCUUGCUUUGUAGCAGAGGAGAGCUUUGCAGGCUUUUUUUGGCCUGAGCUGUAGGGAAGAUCUGGUUCCCUGCACUCUGUGAGUUCACAAACCAGCCCAGGGUGGCUGCUAUUGUGAUGUCAGGGGCCGCAUCCCAGCGUUGCCAAGGCAAAGUUGCUGUGCCCAGGCCCGGCAGGGCUCAGUGAGCAGAGCAGCUCUGUGGCACGCUGACUGCAGGUGGAACCUGCUGAUCGCCGAGGUCUCUGCCAGCAGGACUCGCAGGAUUUUUGGUUUUUCCUCAAGGCGUUGUCUGGUGCAGACUUGGGCAGCGCUGCUCAGGCCAUGGAGAGAGUGUGUGCUGCAGUUUGCACGGCUUUCUCCGUGGCCUAUUCUGGGUACUUUUUCACCCAGCUGGCACGUCACAUCACCCGUGCCUGGAGAGAAUCUGCUCCUUGGGUGAGUGGGAAAGGAACCUUUGGUGUGGGUAGCAAUUGACAAUUGUGGAGCAAGCUGUGAGCUGGGCCUGGUGCAGUCCAGUGCCAGCCUGGUUGGAUGAAUGAAAGAACAGUCCAGGCUCUUUGCAGCAGCAGCAGCAGCAGCAGCAGCAGCAGCAGAACCUGCAGGAGGAGUUGGAUCCCAGGCUGUUUCUCCAGUUCCUUUUCAGAGCUUUUAAGCAGCUGAAAGUGGGGUUGCUUGGUGCUUGAAGCCAUGAUGGAAGUUCUCCUGUACAAGAGAGUGCAGUCCCAUCUAACUGGCCCAUUUUCCUUGAGUUUGAACAAUUAGAAUGCCAUUUCUCUGCAGAUGAUUUCUCCUUAGUGCAUCUGGCUCUAAAGCUGAAUAGAAAGGUCCCUGUCCCUGACACUGCUGUCUAUCUGCAGAGCCCAAAACAGACCUCUGAGCCUCCUCUGGAUGCAUGUCUUCCUGAAGAAGAGGCCAAAUGGGAGGAAGAUUCCCACCAAUGUGCACCUGCUGCCACUGCAGGGCCUGAGCAUCCAGCAUCAGUAAGUGGCAGCUCUGGCUAGUCCUGUGGCUGGAGCAAAGCAGAGCUGCAAGUUUCUGAGCAGACAGCACCUGCCCUGCCUGGAUGAAGAUGCUGAGGACUGG